GAUCGAAUCGAUGGAGUGCUUGCCUCCUGAUACUAGCGGCGGACGGGUGAGUAACACGUAUGCAACCUGCCCAUAAGACUGGGAUAACUACUCGGAAACGGUAGCUAAUACCGGAUACUCAAGAUGGUCGCAUGAUCUUCUUGGGAAAGACGGAGCAAUCUGUCACUUAUGGAUGGGCCUGCGGCGCAUAAGCUAGUUGGUGGGGUAAUGGCCUACCAAGGCGAUGAUGCGUAUCCGAUCUGAUAGGGUGAACGGCCUCUCUGGGACUGAGACACGGUCCAUACUCCUACGGGAGGCAUCAGUAGGGAAUCUUCGGCAAUGGACGAAAGUCUGACCGAUCAACGCCGCGUGAGUGAUGAAUGUUUUCGGAUCGUAAAGCUCUGUUGCCAGUGAAGAACGUCUUCUAAAGUAUCUGCUAGGAUAGUGACGGUACCUGAUAAGAAAGCCCCGGCUAACUACGUGCCAGCAGCCGCGGUAAU
rnacentral:rRNA from 1 species